rnacentral:rRNA from 1 species
AGAGUUUGAUCAUGGCUCAGGAUGAACGCUAGCUACAGGCUUAACACAUGCAAGUCGAGGGGAAACGACAUCGAAAGCUUGCUUUUGAUGGGCGUCGACCGGCGCACGGGUGAGUAACGCGUAUCCAACCUGCCCAUCACUUGGGGAUAACCUUGCGAAAGUAAGACUAAUACCCAAUGACGUCUCUAGAAGACAUCUGAAAGAGAUUAAAGAUUUAUCGGUGAUGGAUGGGGAUGCGUCUGAUUAGCUUGUUGGCGGGGUAACGGCCACAGGCGACGAUCAGUAGGGGUUCUGAGAGGAAGGUCCCCCANAUUGGAACUGAGCACGGUCCAAACUCAUACGGGAGGCA